CCAGACUCCUACGGGAGGCAGCAGUGAGGAAUAUUGGUCAAUGGUCGGGAGACUGAACCAGCCAAGCCGCGUGAGGGAUGAAGGUACAGAGUAUCGUAAACCUCUUUUGUCAGGGAACAAAGGCGGGGACGUGUCCCCGGAUGAGUGUACCUGAAGAAAAAGCAUCGGCUAACUCCGUGCCAGCAGCCGCGGUAAUACGGAGGAUGCGAGCGUUAUCCGGAUUUAUUGGGUUUAAAGGGUGCGUAGGCGGAAUGCCAAGUCAGCGGUAAAAUCGCGGGGCUCAACCUCGCUCCGCCGUUGAAACUGGCGUUCUUGAGUGGGCGAGAAGUAUGCGGAAUGCGUGGUGUAGCGGUGAAAUGCUUAGAUAUCACGAAGAGCCCCGAUUGCGAAGGCAGCCUGCCGCAGCGUUACUGACGCUGAAGCUCGAAAGCGCGGGUAUCGAACAGGAUUAGAUACCCCCGUAC
rnacentral:rRNA from 1 species